rnacentral:rRNA from 1 species
CCUACGGGAGGCAGCAGUGGUGAAUAUUGGGCAAUGGGCGAAAGCCUGACCCCGCAACGCCGCGUGAAGGAAGUAGGCUUUCGGGUUGUAAACUUCUUUUGACAGGGAAGAGCAGAAGACGGUACCUGUCGAAUAAGCCACGGCUAACUACGUACCAGCAGCCGCGGUAAUACGUAGGGUGCCAGCGUUGUCCGGAUUUACUGGGUGUAAAGGUCGUGUAUCCGGGCUGACAAGUCAGAUGUGAAAUCCGGGGGCUCAAGCCCCGAACUGCAUUUGAAACUGUUGGUCGUGAGUAUCGGAGAGGCAGGCGGAAUUCCUAGUGUAGCGGUGAAAUGCGUAGAUAUUAGGAGGAACACCAGUGGCGAAGGCGGCCUGCUGGACGACAACUGACGGUGAGGAGCGAAAGCGUGGGGAGCAAACAGGAGUAGAUACCCCUGUAGUC